UUUUCCUCCCUACAGCAAGAGAUUCUUAUUCUCAGACAGAAGUUCCAGCUUUUUCAGAGUCUCCCACAAUGCAUAAUGUCUUGUGACUUUGACAUAUCUUUAGCUGACGAUGUCUUAGACCAGUUCUAGGAGGAAUAAUAAGAGUAAUCAUUAAUAUUUGUCAGGUCUAACCCAGCCUUAUAUCCUGUGGGAUCGUAAAGCCUGUUAGCAGAGAACAGGGCUAAUUCUGCUCAUCACUGCCACCUGCGUCCCACUCCUAAAGGGAGGGUUUUAAAUUUGCUUCAUAAGCCUCCAGAUAAAAAUAGCAAAACAGCCAUAACUCCUAUAGUAUUUUCCACUACAAGUGAGAAACUGAGGCACAAGAUAGGUAACUUGCCUCUAAGUAAAUCAGUGGGGAAAGAAAAAACAGGGAGCAGGUAGUCUGAGGAACUAAGGAUGGAAGAUGGGCUUUCCAAAAUGAAGCUCAUGCACAGUUGUUGUUGUUAUUUUCGCAUAACAUGCACUGCAGGUGCCUGGGGAGGACAUUACCUGAUGGGCUGUGAAGGUGAUUGCUUCAGGUGCUGGAAGACAGGGGCACGAUGGUGCCCAGGGGAGCAGGAGAACAUCUGGAAAGGCUCCCUGGGGUUUUCUGUUGAUGGAUAAACACAAGAAGCAACAAGCCAGAGGUUCUGACUGGCCAGGGAACUGCUCUUCCAGAGAGAUGAAAACCUCAACAGCGCUGGAGAGCUCAGCCAGGUGUUUUUACCAACGUUACUGGCAGCUGCGCACCAUCCCAGCAAGACGAGGGAGAUUGAGGUGCUGAAAGCAAGCACAAGUGAGCUGGAAGCUAAGCAUGCUAACCUAAGCUACCUGUCCAGAGUUUCCUUGUCAACAAAAACAAAAGAUACAAACUCCCAGAGAUGUCCUGUGUCAUGAGGGUGACUGAUGGGUAAAUAAAAGCCUUGUGAAGUCUCCAGAGCCCCAGAGAAGCAGGUAUCUUUAAACCAGAGCUACAGACCCUCACGGCAGGCUUUCCAUGAAGUGCAGAGGAGGGAUGGCAGCGAGGGACAUCUGAAACGCUGCCUGCAAAACCAGCACCAGGCCAACAUAAACACAGCUCUCCAGCUCCUGGCGUGGACACCUCGUGCCAGGCUGCGAGGCAAACCAAGCCAACGACGCCAGACUGGCCCCGAGGAAGGUGUUUCUCCAGCACUUUGCCUUGGCUGCAGCUCAGCUCUGUCCUGUGCUGGGACUGCCCACACCUGAUGGAGCCGGCUGGAGGAUCGCAGGGGCAGGGAGAGGCGUCACAGCAGAGCAAGGCGAGGGACCAAGAGAGGGACUCAGUCCGUGAAACUUGACAGCUCUGCGUCGAGCUCUGGCCACAGCGCAGGGCCACGGAGGGGGAACGAGGCUCAUCAAAUUGAGCCUGGGAAGGCUUCCAAAACCUUGUCUUCGCGAGGCAACAGUGUGCAGGUUUGCAUAAAUAUCUCUGAAAUUCAUCAAACAGCUCAAAUGAAAUACACUGGGGAAGGAACUUCUUCUGCAUUUAAAUCCGCACACGGUUGCUCCCCUGUCUUUGAAAUCCAGCGAUGCCCGCCCCUCCAUCAGCCUAGGAGCAAGGUACAUUCCAGAUGGUUCCCCCAUCCUAAAAAACUGCACUGCACAGCCGAUUAAAUUCUGCUUGUUGUAAUUAAGCCCGACACAAUUAGCUGUCAAGCAGGGCACUCAUCUGUUUUAUGUUGCAAUCUCUUCAACAGGCGAGGCUGCUAGACAAGAUUGUCACUUUUCGAAAAGAUUUUCAUUAGUUACCCUGGGCUCUGUGUCAGACUAUGAAAUAUAAAAAUGUGCUCUGUAGCCAAGUCAGGGAAAUUCUCAUUUAAUGUUCCACACAGUAUUAUGAAAGUAAUGUACUCUGAAAAUGAAUGCAUUUUGGAACAUUUCGGAAGAAAUGUAAUUUGUCUGCUAAGUAAUAACUGCAUGUUCAUGAAUUUACUGAUUUUUUUCUCAAUAUGCCUUUCGUAAAGUUGGGAAGACUUUUUCUGACCUAAAAUGAAAAGAAGAGAAACUGUUGAUUUUAAUGUUACUCCUUCCUCCUUCCUUUUCUCCCUCCCUCUUUCUUUUAUUCUUUCUUUUCCAUCACUUCCAGGCACUUCCAGUGUAAAACCCGGGCACUGUCCCAUGAAAGCAGAAGCUUGGCAGAAAAGAAAUGUGCAGCUCAAAACAGAAAAUAACUGAGGUCUGUGAGGAACACGGGAACUCCAUCUUCCUGUGCCUUUAAGAACAGAGAGCCCGAAAUCCCCUGUUGCUCCUCACAGUUCAACAACCAGCAUCUGUCAGUGGCGAUGCAAUUACAGUUCCCCUGCUUUGGUGGGACUGUGAAUUUUCUGCAUUUCUAAUGUCAGAGGCUAAGUGGGGUCAAACAGACAGAGUGGCAGUGCUUCUUGCCACCAAAAUUCAGAUUCAGUCAGAGAAAAUAACAAAGCAUUCAGGCUGGCACAGCCUUCUCUUCCCCUUAUAAAUAGAUGCUGGGCUCUGGGACAAAUGCUGGAACACGCUGAGGUGCACGGAGGGAAGAGAUAUCCCUUUGGCUCCGGUGCUGAGCCUGGGUUCAGACCUGAUGGCCUAAAUUAGGGGUUAUUUAAGUUGCCCAGUCAAGGAGAUGGGAGGCAGUGCCACUGAAAUGCUGGCUGAGCUUUCCAUCAGAAGAGAAAUGGCUCACCCAGAGAGUUACUUAGGUUUUCUGGGCAGAAACCGGGUAGGGGCUGAGGAUGAAAACCAGGAUUAUUAAUGGGAACAGAUUGGGAAAAAUAAAAAAGGAAAGUAGGUGAGGAAUGACCACCGGUGAGGAAUGACAAUGAGAACUGGGACUGCAGUCCCAGCUGGGAUGAGUGAGCUCAGCAAGCUUCUGCCAUCGCUUAAGAUGUGAUUUUGAUAGUUGCAGGAUGACGUGGUCCAGACCUGGAUGAGCCAGCACAGCUGAGGCAGUGAUGUCACUGCAUCCCUCUGAGCUGUGCUUGGAAGUGAUUCUCCUCUAAUCUGUCAUUACCCCCCCCCCCGAUUGUGUACUUACAGCCUUUGAACAGGAGCAAGUUAAGAGAGGCAUAUAUUACUGUCUUCGUAUGUCUGUACAAAUUUGGGUUGUCAGUUUAUACACCGAGAUGAAAUAUAGUUUGCAGAUCAUAAGAAGUUAUGUGCUGAAGUUUGAACCCCACUGUGCCGAGCAUUACCCGGCUUUGUUUGCUGCCUGUUACUGGCCAUUAACUCCCCAGGCAGGCUCUCUUAGCCAGAAUUCAAGUGGCUUUAAUCAGGCUUCGUUUACCCUCCUUGGGAAGGAAUAAAGUUCAUUCAAAUUAAGACCGCUUUAUCUCCACGUAGAAGCACCCCCCACGUGAGGUUCAGCGCGUUUUAAAGAUUUAUCUUUUAUGGCACACCUUUUCCUCACUCAGAUUUCCUUCGCAGAGCCCUUCCCUUGAACAAACUCCCGUUUUCCCAGGAGCACUUCUGGAAGUCGUCGCGUUCGUGCCCUGGGUGUCUGCCCAGGGCUGGGAGCUCGGGGCUGGAGUGGCGCCCGGUCCAUUAGCAUUCAGCUGCAGGAGGAAGGGGAGGAAAAACUCCGCAGAAGCCUGAGACGGAGAGCAAAUAAAAGCAGAGCGGGUUUCAUCGAAACCCCACAUGGGUGAAGGUUUUACCACAGUGACCUCCUACACAUCACAAACCACUAAGUAUCGCCCCAGUUCUCCGAAAAGAGCCUGAAGGGAUGCAAAAUGUUCGGCUCUCUGUUGUCUUUCAGGAGGGCUUGCAAAUCACGUGCGCGUGUAGACGCCAUGGGUGUGAGGCCAGGAAUUACAGCGGAGAAGGCAUGAGCAGCGCUCUGAUUUCCUGCACAAAGCAUGGAUUUUCUCAGUGCCAGAUGGAAAUACGGAUGAUCCACGAGUCUGUCCAGUGUUGCAGGCCCAGGAAAGCAGAAAGAGGAUGUGCAGAGACUCACCUUGUCACCCACGGAAGGAACUAAUGUCACCACCUGAAGACCUACAACAUGUCUGGGAGGAUCCGUGAGACUGUGGCCACAGCAGAGCAUGACUGCAGCAGCAAGGGCUUGCCAAGAAAAACAGAGUUUGACCUGUUUUUUUUGGAGUGGGAGGAACCUGGAUUUACUUUCCACAAGACUGCACAGGUAUCUGCAGCGAUCAAUAAAAUGUGUUCUCCCUGCUUGAUCCAGCCUGUUACAUGACUGACUGUGCUUGGACAUGGUGGAGAUUGGUAGCACUGAGAUCGGACUCCUAUCUAGGAAUUUGAAAUCAGAUUUGAGAAGUCACCGUUUCAAUGGGAUGUGAACAGUCAUUACUCUCACUCCGGAUCUUACAGUUUUUAUUCCACCGUGCAAUUUGCAUUACAACUGGAUCCUAAUUGUCCAUUUUAGCAAGCAAAGAGCAAUCUGAUACAGAUUAUAAUACACGAGGUAAAGCAGCAACGUCACGAAUUAAGUGCUA